AAAUUACAAAUAUAAGUUCAAUUUUCAGUUUAUAAAUUAAAAUUAAAAUUUUUAUUUAAAAUUGAAUUCAUAUUUAAAUAUAAUUUUCUAUUUAAUUUGAAGCACAAAUUUUUGAAUUUUUGAAUUAAGAUAUAUCUAUUUUAGCAUGCCGAGUGCGUGAUAUUGAAAAGACUAAAAAUGAGGUAAAUUUAUUUAAAAAUUUAGAUAUUUUAGGUACAGGAUAUUUAUGAAAAGUAACAAUGAUUAAAAGUUUACUAAAAUAUUUAACUCUAUUAACGUCUCGGGCCUUGCCACCACCAAAAAUGUUUAAGUCGGAUUAAGAGUAUUAGCUUUAUUAUAUCGUAUAUAUAGGACUAUCUGGAAUCUCACACUUUUUUUUUUUGAUAACUGAUAUAAGUAUUUGUACAAUAGACUACUGUUUACGUAAUUAGAGAUUAAGUCGCGGGAUAGAAAAAAUGACGAGAUUUAAGUCGCGGGAUAGAAAAAAUGACGGUUAUUAUCGGUGCAUUUUAUUAGGAG
rnacentral:lncRNA from 1 species